rnacentral:rRNA from 1 species
UACGUAGGGAGCAAGCGUUGUCCGGAAUCAUUGGGCGUAAAGCGCGCGUAGGUGGCUUCGUAAGUCCGUUGUGAAAGUCAAAGGCUCAACCUUUGAAAGCCGAUGGAUACUGCGGAGCUAGAGUACGGAAGAGGCGAGUGGAAUUCCUGGUGUAGCGGUGGAAUGCGCAGAUAUCGGGAGGAACACCAAUGGCGAAGGCAGCUCGCUGGGACGUGACUGACGCUGAGACGCGAAAGCGUGGGGAGCAAACAGG